GGAGGAAUUCCCGAGAGGCCAAAGGGGGCAGACUGUAAAUCUGUUACGUUAGUUUCGAUGGUUCGAAUCCAUCUUCCUCCA
rfam:Clostridium puniceum strain DSM 2619 CLPTN_contig000234, whole genome shotgun sequence.